CACGAAAUGGACCCAUGGAUCGUUGUGACAUUUUGUAUGAAAAAAUAUAUAUUAGUUACCUGACCAAAACUGUGAAAACGAGGCGCUUUUAUCAACUCUACUUUAAUUAAUAUCUGUCUGAGCGGCUGCUAAAAUUGUAAUUGUACGUCAUAGAUGACUUAUUUCUGAUUGGUUAUGAUUGAAGGAAUAAAUAAGGAAGUCGAUUCUCAGGGAGAAAUGGUUGUUUUUCCGGCCCUUGACCCAGGAAAAUUUCACUUAUACCUUUCUAUUGCAGGAUAACCAGUUAACCGAGAGUUAUUUUGCUAUCUGAUAUCCGGAUAUUAUUAUGACGGUUAACCGGAUGAUGAAGCAGUAUAAAUAAUGCAUAUGCGCAUUAGUGAUUUUUAUAUUUUUUGUUGAGUGGCGACUGACAUCUCACCACAGGAGAGUUGAUUCCGAUUUCUUUCUUUUUCUGUCGUCAUUCAUUUGCCAUACCCUCCCUAGGUACAUCGCUACUUACGCUAAAAUAAAAGCACUCCUCAUCUAGAUAUGGAAAUAAGGGGUGAGCUGCAUGAAUGAAUCCAGUUUUAAUUCGUAAUUUUGCUAUCUUUGCGAAUUUAUUUGACCUAUUAUUGCAAUUUCAAUGACUAUAAUUUAUUUAGUACAUUAAAUAAAGAUAUUAAUAUAUCAACAAAAUCGGGAGAAAGUCGGGUGCAGUCUCGUCGGUUUAUAACGCCGAAAAUUGUUUAGAACGCCAUUCUAAUUCUAUAUCCACAUUUUGUAUCAAUUAAAAUCUAUGUUCAUCCUCUCAUUUCAUUGAUGUAAUUUUAUACGCUGUGCAGUGAAUUAUCGUGAGAAGUAUACAUCCUAAUCAGACGUAUAUAUCUCUCUUGUUCGCUUACAGUAGUUUCGUUCUGUAAAGUGGUGCAGCGAUAUAAUCAACCGCACUAAAAUACAAAAUGGUAUGUUGCAUCGUAAGUUUAAAUGUCCUGAAGCCUGAAAAGCCUGAUACGGCUUCCCAACUUUCAAUGAAAAAUGACAGCGAGAAAAUCUCGAGCAACCAGUCAUGUCCAAUUGAAUCUCUCGAGUGAGGCGCUCCGGCACAAGGUUUGGAAAUUUGAUCAGCCCAUACUCACGAGGAGUUAUUGAUUCAAAUCCACUUUAAUAUUCAACAUCAGUGUAAUGAAUUUUUCGGGCUCACGUGCGGCGAAAUUCAUAUUGCAUAUUUAAACAACUUUGUUGCACUUUUCCUAACAUAACGAAAUAUAACAAUGAGACGUCAGCAUCUUCAUGCCUGAUGAAGCUUUUGAAAAGUACUUACUUUAUUUUAUUAUUGUUAUUUAGUUAGUUUUCAAUCCAUCACUUCGAAUUCGUGAAUAUUCAACGCUCAACUGUGGCAAACUUUUUCAAUUUCGAGGGUGCAAAUAAUUAGACAUUCUCAUAGAGUGCCAAUAUGAAUCAACGUUGAAACUCGUUUUUCUGUAUAGCUAUGAAAUAAUAUAUCCUUUUAUCUGUUCAGUGGCUUAAUAUUCUUUGUUGAGUAGCUUAUGUCCUUCAAAAAUAGUUUUCGAGGAAGACAUUGUGUUGGGCACGUGCAUGAAGAAUCAAUCUGAAGGAUUUUGGAAAAAAAUAUAAAAAGUGCAAGGAGUCAGCACUUGCAGACAAAAACGGGGAGAAAUACCGGUUUUAGCCCUAAACUAUGAUUGACACAAAUUGAAUUUAUUGGCGAAUAAUGACGAGGCAGUUUUAUCAUUUUCUAUCUUACUAUUGGUAUUAAAAAUAAAUUCAUCUAUUUUAUAUGGUCACACCGUAAAAUUAGUUCACAUCUUCCCCGUCUGGAAUAAUCUUCAACUGCAGUCCCAUGACGUAAGCAUAAUAUAUAUUAAAAACUUUUUUGCUAAAUUGAAAUCUAAAACGAUUUUAUAAAUCCAAUCUGAGCCUGUGCUAUAUAGCGGUAUUACCAAUAGGGCAUGUUCUUUCUUUGUGAUGAUUUUCUUUGGUACGACUAUGAAUCGUCAUUUUUAGCACGAAUGUGAUAGUAUGAUUUAGGCCUGCGGCAAGGCUACAUAUUUUAAGGUAUGACAGGAGGUCGACCACGUGUAUAUAUAUAUAAUGAUGGACGGUCAUAGGUACACUAUUACUGUUUGAUCAGCUAUCAAGUUUUACCAAGUUAAAUAAUAUGUCUAUGAUUGAAGCAUGUCUGCUGGUUUGCUUGUUUUUGCCCUGUGGAAGAGUUCCGGUUAAAACCCAUGAAAAAUACUUGAAGACCGUCACCGUGAAAAAUGCAACUAUGAGCUAUGUUGAUACAGACGGUCAGUUCGAACACACUGUUGUGUUUUUACAUGGAAAUCCGACUUCGUCGUAUCUUUGGAGAAACAUCUACCCACAAAUUUCGUCGAUCGCUCGAUGCUUUGCACCCGAUUUAAUUGGAAUGGGACGAUCUGAUAAAGUGGAAAAUUUGAUGUACACAUUUGCGGAUCAUUAUCAGUAUUUUUCUGAAUGGAUGGAUAAAGUAGUUAAAACAGAUAAAGUUAUUCUUGUGUUACAUGACUGGGGUUCUAUACUUGGAUUUCAUUGGGCAAAUAUGAAUCGUGCAAGAGUUCAGUCUAUUGUUCACAUGGAGAGUGUUGUCGCGCCGUUUUCCACACAACAUCAGACCGUGUUUUUCCGUCAAAUAAGAUCCGAAGCGGGAGAACAGAUGGUAUUGGUCAACAACCUUUUCGUCGAGAAUUUCGUACCAUUGAACAUCAUUCGAAACCUGACUGAAGAAGAGAUGAAUGAAUACCGCAGACCUUUCGUCGAUCCUGGAGAAGAUAGAAGGCCUACUUUGACUUUUCCGAGACAAGUACCCAUCCUAGUUCGCAGACAACUAUUUUAUACCGGCUUACAAUCAAGAUGAUAAUUUCAUGAUAUCGGCUUCGGAAAUAUCGGCGCAUCGGUAUCGGCGAAACAAUGGUGAGGGUCCCGAUGACGUGAUGAUGGCGGUGAAUGCAUACGCCAAAUGGUUGUCAACAACUUCUCAUAUACCUAAGAUGCUGAUUCUCGCAAAACCUGGAGGAUUGUCCAACAUCACCAAAGAAGUUGCAAAAGAUUGG